rnacentral:tRNA from 1 species
UGGCUCAGUCAGUAGAGCGCGUGACUCUUAAUCAUGGGGUCGUGAGUUCGAGCCCUAU